GUAGGUGGCAAGCGUUGUCCGGAAUUAUUGGGCGUAAAGCGCGCGCAGGCGGUUCUUUAAGUCUGAUGUGAAAGCCCACGGCUCAACCGUGGAGGGUCAUUGGAAACUGGAGAACUUGAGUACAGAAGAGGAAAGCGGAAUUCCACGUGUAGCGGUGAAAUGCGUAGAGAUGUGGAGGAACACCAGUGGCGAAGGCGGCUUUUCUGGUCUGUAACUGACGCUGAGGCGCGAAAGCGUGGGGAGCAAAACAGGGAUUAGAUACCCUGGUAGUCCACGCCGUAAACGAUGAGUGCUAAGUGUUAGGGGGUUUCGCCCCCUUAGUGCUGCAGCUAACGCAUUAAGCACUCGCCUGGGGAUACGGCCGCAAGGCUG
rnacentral:rRNA from 1 species